rnacentral:rRNA from 1 species
CCUACGGGUGGCAGCAGUGAGGAAUAUUGGUCAAUGGGCGCGAGCCUGAACCAGCCAAGUCGCGUGAGGGAAGACGGUCCUAUGGAUUGUAAACCUCUUUUGUCGGGGAGCAAAAGACGCCACGUGUGGCGUUCCGAGAGUACCCGAAGAAAAAGCAUAGGCUAACUCCGUGCCAGCAGCCGCGGUAAUACGGAGGAUGCGAGCGUUAUCCGGAUUUAUUGGGUUUAAAGGGUGCGCAGGCGGAAGAUCAAGUCAGCGGUAAAAUUGAGAGGCUCAACCUCUUCGAGCCGUUGAAACUGGUGUUCUUGAGUGAGCGAGAAGUAUGCGGAAUGCGUGGUGUAGCGGUGAAAUGCAUAGAUAUCACGCAGAACUCCGAUUGCGAAGGCAGCAUACCGGCGCUCAACUGACGCUCAUGCACGAAAGUGUGGGUAUCGAACAGGAUUAGAUACCCGGGUAGUC